CAGGAAUGGUUAUUAAAAGUGGACCCACAAUGAUUAUGAUGACAGUACAGUACUGCCACUUUUUAAAGGGCUGCACCAGCAAGUAGGCCUGAGGCAACUUCUCAACCUGUGAACAAUAGGAAGUCAGUCAAAGCUAAGAAAAGAAAAGCCAGCAAGGGAAAAGCAAGCAAGGCGAAGGG